rnacentral:rRNA from 1 species
CGAACGGGUGAGUAAUAUAUCGGAACGUGCCCAGUAGCGGGGGAUAACUACUCGAAAGAGUGGCUAAUACCGCAUACGCCCUACGGGGGAAAGGGGGGGAUCGCAAGACCUCUCACUAUUGGAGCGGCCGAUAUCGGAUUAGCUAGUUGGUGAGGUAAAGGCUCACCAAGGCGACAAUCAAUAGCUGAUUUGAGAGGAUGAUCAGCCACACUGGGACUGAGAUACGGCCCAGACUCC